UUAGUAGCAAUCUUCAAGGAAUCGCUUUCAGAGCUUAUAACUCCAAUUCCUGGAGGAAUUUUCUGGUUAUCUCUUAGUUGAAGUAAAGUAUCUGCAAAAAUGAUUUUAAGUGUACUGAUUCUCUUGACAUCCCAGCUUUUUGGCGUUCAGGGUGAGAUUGUCGUGAUUUUAAAAGACAUAGAAUAUCCUUUUCAUGAUCCGGAAUAUAUAACAGAACCAGAUGCUUACAUUAAUGAAAAUAAUGAAAUAUUCUGUAAAUUUUCGAUAAAAAAAAAACGUUUCCAUCAACAGCUGAAGGAUAUAUUGCAUUGAUAGGAGCAUCAAUGGGUGAGUAUGUUAUAGAUACAUGAAUCAAUACACGAAUGCCCUUAUGUGACAUGUUAAAUGAACCUAUUGUCCUGGGUCCAACUCUUCAAGUGUUUGAAUUUGAUGAAAAUAAUUGUCCCCCUGAA